UAGGGAAUCUUCGGCAAUGGACGAAAGUCUGACCGAGCAACGCCGCGUGAGUGAAGAAGGUUUUCGGAUCGUAAAACUCUGUUGUUAGAGAAGAACAAGGACGUUAGUAACUGAACGUCCCCUGACGGUAUCUAACCAGAAAGCCACGGCUAACUACGUGCCAGCAGCCGCGGUAAUACGUAGGUGGCAAGCGUUGUCCGGAUUUAUUGGGCGUAAAGCGAGCGCAGGCGGUUUCUUAAGUCUGAUGUGAAAGCCCCCGGCUCAACCGGGGAGGGUCAUUGGAAGUUGGGAGACUUGAGUGCAGAAGAGGAGAGUGGAAUUCCAUGUGUAGCGGUGAAAUGCGUAGAUAUAUGGAGGAACGCCAGUGGCGAAGGCGGCUCUCUGGUCUGUAACUGACGCUGAGGCUCGAAAGCGUGGGGAGCAAACAGG
rnacentral:rRNA from 1 species